AGCUAUAUAUGCAUAAUGGAUGCACAAGAAGGAAUGUAAAGAUUUUCAUAUCUCAAAUGCAAACAAGAAAUGAGAGCACAGCACAAGCUUCCAUAGUGCUCUCCUUUCAACAUUGUCAUAUAUAUAUAUAUAUAUUUUCAGCUUAUCAUCAAAUUAACUGGUCACACCAUCCAUAUAUGUCGCUCUUUAAACCACGUCCAUUUCCCUAUUUGUAGGCCUUUCUUCAGAUAGCAAAGGGGAAAACAACACAAGUCUCCAGAAAUAGCACAGAGGAGUUUUAAGUUUCAUUUACGUACGUUCUCUGCACCGGGGGGGGGUGAUUCCUUGAAUACAUGUUGCGAUUAGAAAUGGUGAUAUGAAAGUAGUGGUAGUGGGCAGUGGGUGCUCUUAUAACUGGCAAAACCAAAGUAUGUGCAUAGUCUCUGUCAUACCAUAUUUUGAUUCUCAUCAUCAUUUUCCUUGUAUCAUUAUCAAAUUCUGAUAUUCAUAAGGAGCUCCUAGCUUAGCAAUCAUAUAUUUAUGAUUUAUCAGAAUUCUAACCUUAAAUUUAUUAACCGCAUAUCUUAUCAGAAAUUUUAUUACAUUUUAAUAUCUAGAACUUACA
rnacentral:lncRNA from 1 species